AAUCGCCAAUAGUACGGCCACCAUGGUACUUCUACCUAGCAGUACGACGCGUACUAAAGAAAUCAGUCGAAGUUGGCCUCUCGAACGAACGGGAACUAUAGUGGUACUAGCGGUACUUCUGCUUGCUUUUUUAAAGUUUAGAUUACCACGCGGUACUUCUACGGAAUUUGUGGUGUUUUGUUCGAGAAAUAAUUUUUUUUUUUUGGAAAACAGUUCGCUGGUUUCGAGAUCAUCUUUAAAAAUUAUUGAGGAUAUCCAGAUAUUUUUUUUUAAUCACAGGACUUCGAGGUAAAGUAAAAGAGAGAAUUAUUUUAAGAACGACUGUUGGCGAGGUAAAGUUGUAUCUAUAUAAAGCUAUUUCGAAAUAUAAUUGGGUGUGAUUAAGCAGUGAACGGGCGAUAUAUAACAGAUAUAAUUCCACCGAGACCAUCAUUAUCAUAAUUUAUACAUGCGCUCAACGACUAUUACGACAUUUUUGCAUUUUAAAUUUAUGUUCACUCUAUUAUAUGAACGUACUAAGAGGGAUUUCCAUCUUAACAAUAUUAUAUUUGAGAAAUUACAAAUAGAUUGUUUGCACCUAUACCUAGAAGGUAUUUCGUACUGGACUUUAAAUCUCAUGGUGUCAUUUCCCAAGGUGUUUUGAUAAUAGUCGUUUUGGUGUGUCCAGAAUGUGCAGUUGGUGCUUAUGAUCUUAAGAUGAUAUUUCGUGGUACCUGACGGAAUUGUAAAGUAAGUAAAUAUAGAAGAGAACAAUUUAUGAAGACUUGUAGGAGGUCUGUUGAGGUGUUGUCACCUCGAUGGACAUCUGAAGAAGGUUUAGUAGAUAAUUCAACGAAACUACCAACUACAUUUUCUCGAGGUGCGAGACAAUGCUCGAGGGGCAUAGAAAACGAAGAUCUUUGGAAGCAAGAUCCAUCAUACAUACUGAUUUUUCUGUAAUUAGUGGGAUUAAUGGAAAAUUUUUGGAUUUUAGUAAAAAAAUAUUUCUUUCUAUUGAUAUUUUGAUUUUGUCAGAUGUUUAUCAUCAUUUUUAUUACUUGCUGUUAGUUUCUCACUAUUAUUGUCUAAUACGUGAAUUGGUUCGGCUCAGUAUCUAUGAGUUCAAGUAGAAUACACAGCGUGACAAGAUUUUUUUUCUAUAUUAUGCAAAUUAUAUAAAGAUAUAGUUUACUUACAUAAUCCUACGCAUAGUUCUUUGUUGAUAUAGCGGAAAUGAAUGACUAUAAAAUAAAUUAGUCCAGUGAUCACAGCUUCUGACCCACGAUAAUUAGUUACGUCGCCGAUUUUCGUAGUUCUAAGGGUACAGUAAAAGUUAACAUCAAAUAUAUUGAAAAAUUCUUAGCCUACUAUAGAACCAAACAAAAUUUCAAUGUCAAAAUAUUUUAUUACUCAAAAUAUUCUCCUUUUAAUUAGCUAGACGUUGCAGGUUCGACCUUUUAAACUCUUUUUCAGUUGAGGAAAGAGAUGAUAGUCGGACGGAGCCAAAUCUGGUGAAUAAAGGGGAUGUUCUAGUAAUUCAAACCCUAAAUCACGAAUUUUUUGCAUGGCAACAUGAGAUUUGUGUGCAAGGGCGUUGUACUGCAAAAACAAAACACUUUUGGUUAGCUUUCCGCGUCUUUUCUUUUCAAUUUUUCUCGUAGUAAUAUCGAAUAGUGAUCUCCAGUUAUUUUCCUACCCUUAUCGAAAAAAUUAAUCAUGAUUACUCCAUUGCAAUCCCGAAAAACUGAAGCACACUGUUCCAGCACAUUUUUGGACACUUGGUAACUUCUUAGGUCUUGGAGAACCAGAGUGUCGCCACUCCAUCGAUCGUUGCUUUGUUUCUGGAUCUUAAAAAUGAAACCAAGUCUCAUCCAUAGUAACAAUUCGGUUUAAGAAGUCUACAUCGUUUUCAAAUCGAGCACAGAUCGAACGCGAUGCUUCUACCCUUGCGCGCUUUUGGUCAACAUUCUAACAUUUGGGGAUCCAUUUUGCAGCAAUUUUUCUCAUGUACAAAUUGACGUCAACCAUAUGAUUAACGCUUUCGUAUGAAAUAUUCAGUUUUAGCCCAAUUUGACGGUCUGAUAAAAUCAUGUCAUGAACUGCAUCGAUAUUUUCGGGAACUGACACAGAAACUGGCCUUCCCGAUAGGUCAUCGUAUUCAAUGGAAAAUUUACCUCUUUUGAAGCUUGCAGUCCAAUUUUUCACGGUCGCAUACGAAGGACAUUGAUCACCAAGGGUAUUAAGCACAUCUUCGUAAAUCUGCUUACUUCUUAACCCUUUUAAAUACAGGUACUUGAUGAUGGCUCGAUACUCCAACUCUGGUUUACUUUUUUGACGUCAAAUUUUACACUGACACUUCUAAUAAGUUAUUGUUCGUUGCUAUGGUAACGCAAUAUUUUGUUUAUGCGUGGAACUAAUUAGAUAUCAAUACAUCCUCGUAUUUUUGUUUAAAUUUUCAAAAUUCCGAAUUUUGCAAAUAACUCCAAAUCUAUGCCAAAUUUCGGAAAAAUUAAAAAGAUCAAAAAUGUAGUUUAAGCAAUUUUCUACAAAAAAGGUUCUCUGUGAUUUUUCCCUAAGAGCUGUCAUUUCUUUGUAAAAUGCGCUCAAACUUCGGGGUCAUCCCAUCUUACUAAAGAGUUUUCGCGCCACGUAGAGUCUGAGGGAAAUUACGUCCAAAGUUGAAGAAGACACUGCUGUGUCUCCUCGAAAACUCAACAUUUCGGGACGAAAGAAAGUGCAUUUUACUCGUUAGAGUCUGUACCUUCCAACUGUAUCUACAAAAAAAUUCAGACUUGUAAAAUUUUCUUGGAAAACGACAAGAACUGGAUUGUUUUUUGAUGGUUGCCUGGGUAAACUUAAAACCCAUGUGUCUGUGACUCUGCUACACCCAGCACCGAACCCUUGCUUGAGAUCGUCAAUUAGACGAUUACCUUUAAAAUGAGACCAAUUAUACCUUUGAACUCACUCUGUGGUAGAAAAAAAAACUACUUUUACUAACGCGAUUGAAUGCAGUUUUUACUUUAUAUAAUGCGUCUCGUUAUGUCUCUGACCUCGAUUUGUAUAGAUAUUCGUGUCGUUAAGAAAAAUGUAGUAAAUCUCCUCCAACCUCAGAUGCAGCCAAAUUGCAUUGCUUAAGAGUGUAUUUCCAGGUUUAAGAAUGGCUCUCCAAUACCAGUUUAGAUCCAGUAAAGUGGAGAUGGGAGUUUCGAGACUUUUGUCGCCGGAAGCGCCCUCGGAGAUCUUAAAAAUUAUUUUUUGUAACUACCAAAAAGGUUGUAAAAGGCUGGGCUGCUAUGUAGAAGCCUGUGCGUGUGUGUUUUGAAUAUUUUUCGUGAUUUGUGCCAUUGAUUUCACGUGAUGGACUGUUUGUCUAGUACCCUAUAUAAAUAAAUAUUUAUUUCCUACAAAAACCACCUCCUACCCUUAUAAGUAGGGAAAUAUCCAUUCCAUGAGUGCACGAUCGAUUUAACUUCUUCGUCUUGCUUUACUGACAGUCAAUCAGACCUCGACCUCCCGAUAACUCUCGACAUUCCUCGCGUGUGCUUCUAUCAUAAUUCAAAAUUUCAUUUUCAUUUCAAAUACACCUUGGCCUUCUCAAUCUCAGCCUUAACAAUCGUACGAGUGUCUGCAACAAUAUCAUCGAUUGCACUAGAGCAAAAACCAAAAUUGGGGAAACAACCCCAGAUAAACUGAAAACACUGGCCAUUGUGUGAACUACCACUUGGCUAAUAGAGGAAAAACUCCCAAAAGUUCUUGUAGUUUCUUCUAAACGACCUGAAGAAAAGGUCAAGCACCUCCUUUGUGAAUUUGAAGUAAAUUGCGUGGACUCUAAGAGCGGUAGCUCCAUUAGUGAAAUCGAAUCACGGCCUUUACACCCUAAUCUAAUCUAAUCUAAUGCCAUAUAAAUUUGCACUUCAAGUGCAAUGUUUCUAUUCGUACUGAUGAAUCAAUCAAAGAAUAAACCCAGAAAUUAGGAGUAUCGCACACGUAGAAAACGUUAAAGCACAAAAUCCACAUCUGAAAUCAAUUAUUGGUGUUUCAUUUUUUGUUUCUGCAUAGUAUAUUUAUAUAUCGGGUCCCAUUAUACAAAUGACCGAGAAUUUCGAAGGAACUGUUUCCAGCAAAAGAGAAAAAAUGACCAAGCGAAAAUUCACAAAAAACUCCGAACCUUUUAUUGAUCAAGAAAUAGUUGAAGUAGCUGGAAAUAUCCCAAAUUGGCAAAGCGCCAGGACGAAAGGUAUUCCUUCAGACUACCAAAGUGGGCACCAAACUGAAACAAAUACAUGAUGAUUGUUCUACUGAUAUGAUAACACUUUUUUGACAACUCGAAGGUGUACCAAGGUCAUCUUGAUCUCAAAAAAAGAUCCCAAUCUAUAAAGACCAUUAUUAAAGACUAAUCUGAUUCCUGUUGACUUGGGGGAAGGAGAAUUUUUUGACGUUUUGACGGAGAGACCAGUCCUGCGGGAGAAGACACCCUGACGAGCACGGAAUUCCUCUUGGAAGAGUGAUGAUGAAAUCGACUAGAUUGCAAUUGAUUUUUUAUAUUUUCUCUAUUUUUGAUAAAUGUUUAAAUUACUAAUAGCGUUUUUAAGGAUUAUCCCUGUCCCACACUUAAGUUUAGAGUCAAAAUUUCUGUUAUUUUAGAGUUUUUUGUUCUUCGAAGGUAAUUUUCUGCUUUGUAUUUGAUUUCAGAAAUUUACCUCAAAAUUUCGAGUCUUAAACGAAAUUUUAGCUUAUUGUAAGAGUAAUUUUGAGAUUAGGAAAAAAUCCCAAGGAACUUUUUUUGUAGGAAAUUUUUCGAAUUACAUUUUUGAUCCUUUAAUUUUUUUUCGAAAUUCGGCAAAUUCAAACAAAAAUAUAUCGCUUAGUGGCCAAAAUUUUGAUGUGGAUUUUGAUUCUAAUCGGACUGUACUCACUGGACUACAGGGUGUGUUUCUACAACGGAAAAUUACUUCAUAUCAUUAUGUUAAUAUAUGCAAGAGUGAAAAUAUUUUCUUUUUUUUUAGGUGGCGGUAGUAGAAAGUGGAGGGAUGGUGAUGGUAUUGUUUUAAUUUCUCCCCCCGGUCCCGCCACUACUUUACAUACCACGGAUAUAUUGAACACGUGUGAUGUGACGUAGUGGUAUGUCUAAGGGGGUUGCAUGUACAUCUAAUUUAUUUCUACUUAAUUUGUUUCUUUAUUAAUUGCAUGUAUAUUAACAAAAAAAAAAAACGAAAAUCGUACGCGAGUUGUUCCAACUCAGACCCUCAAUGAUGAUUUUAUGACUCAGAAAGGUAAGUAAAAUUGGGAGCAGGUUUAAUUUGAUUUAAACGUACACAAAGAUGAAUCAAUGAAGAGUAGUCAGUUGGUUUUAUAUGGACCUUACAGUUUAUAUGGUGAUUCUAUAGCUUCAAUCUUAUACUUGUGGAUUUUGGAAGUAAGUCUUUCUCUUCAAAUAUAUUUUCCUCAAAAGAACCGUCCGAAAUCCAGUUUGAAGUAUCAUUUUUAUAGAGAAAGAAUAUGAAGUGCUUCUUAAAUUGGUCGAAACAACUCGAUAAGUCUGGACUGGAAGUGGUUUCGUUAUCAAUUCCAUCAGUUUCUGCAGCUGCUGUUUUGGGUUGCGAUUUAUUUCCAAAUCAAACUUGAUCCAAGAGAUUGCAGUUAAUCUAAAGUCCGUGCAAGUUAUUUACCAGUAGGAAUUUUGAUUCCUACUGUUUUUUCUUUCCCUUUUCCGAACUUGCAUUCUAUGAUUUCGGGACGUAACUGAAGCUUUUUAGUUUGUACGUCUGUUGUUAAAAUUUUCGGCAACAUGUACAAAUAUUCGGCAUCUUCUUUCAAAAUUUUAUAUAAGUUGAGAGUUUUCUUGAAAAUUUCGACUGGUAUUUAGUUAAUGAUUGUCCGGUUAAUCGGCGGCGGCGCUAGCUUCCACGGAAUCCUGUAGGAGGCGAUGUUAAGAGUGGGAUUCAAAGGAAUAUACCCGCGGUAGUUUCCUUCAGAGGUCCAAUCGUUUAAAACUAUAUGAAAAAUUCAUUAAUACGCAAAAAAUGAAUGAAAUUAGAAUUUUAAUUAUUUUUAAAUUUUGAAAUUAUGUCUGAUUUAUGUACAAGUCUGGUUGUAGCCUUAAAAGGAGCCAUAGCUAGUUGAACUUAACUGAACUAUAAUAAACUUAAAUAGUUCCUA